AGUGAACGCUGGCGGCGUGCUUAACACAUGCAAGUCGAACGAGAACGGGCUAUAGCUUGCUAUAGUUGUCAGCUAAGUGGCGCACGGGUGAGUAAUGUAUAGGUAAUAUGCCUCUUGCUAAGGGAUAACAAAUGGAAACGUUUGCUAAUACCUUAUACUCCUUAUUAACAGAAGUUAAUAAGGGAAAGAUUUAUUGGUAAGAGAUUAGCCUGUAUUGUAUCAGUUAGUUGGUGGGGUAAUGGCUUACCAAGACUAUGACACAUAACUGGUUUGAGAGGAUGAUCAGUCACACUGGAACUGAGACACGGUCCAGACUCCUACGGGAGGCAGCAGUGGGGAAUAUUGCACAAUGGACGAAAGUCUGAUGCAGCAACGCCGCGUGGAGGAUGACACAUUUCGGUGCGUAAACUCCUUUUAUAUGAGAAGAUAAUGACGGUAUUAUAUGAAUAAGCACCGGCUAACUCCGUGCCAGCAGCCGCCGUAA
rnacentral:rRNA from 1 species